AGAGUUUGAUCCUGGCUCAGGAUGAACGCUGGCGGUAUGCCUAACACAUGCAAGUCGAACGAUGUCUUCGGACAUAGUGGCGGACGGGUGAGUAACGCGUGAGAAUCUGCCUCUAGGAUGGGGAUAACGGUUGGAAACGACCGCUAACACCCAAUAUGCCGUAAGGUGAAAAAUUUAUUGCCUGGAGAGGAGCUCGCGUCUGAUUAGCUAGUUGGUGGGGUAAGAGCUCACCAAGGCCUCGAUCAGUAGCUGGUCUGAGAGGAUGAGCAGCCACACUGGGACUGAGACACGGCCCAGACUCCUACGGGAGGCAGCAGUGGGGAAUUUUCCGCAAUGGGCGAAAGCCUGACGGAGCAAUACCGCGUGAGGGAGGAAUGCCUUUGGGUUGUAAACCUCUUUUCUCAGGGAAGAAGAUCUGACGGUACCUGAGGAAUAAGUAUCGGCUAACUCCGUGCCAGCAGCCGCGGUAAUACGGAGGAUGCAAGCGUUAUCCGGAAUCAUCGGGCGUAAAGCGUCCGCAGGUGGUUUCCAAAGUCUGCUGUUAAAGACUGGAGCUCAACUCCGGAACGGCGGUGGAAACUUGGAAACUAGAGUUCGGUAGGGGUAGCAGGAAUUCCCAGUGUAGCGGUGAAAUGCGUAGAUAUUGGGAAGAACAUCGGUGGCGAAGGCGUGCUACUGGACCGUAACUGACACUCAGGGACGAAAGCUAGGGGAGCGAAAGGGAUUAGAUACCCCUGUAGUCCUAGCUGUAAACGAUGGAAACUAGGUGUGGCUUGUAUCGACCCGAGCCGUGCCGUAGCUAACGCGUUAAGUUUCCCGCCUGGGGAGUACGCACGCAAGUGUGAAACUC
rnacentral:rRNA from 1 species